GUGGCUAUAGCUCAGUUGGUAGAGCCCCGAUUGUGAUUCCAGUUGUCGUGGGUUCGAAUCCAUUAGCCACCCCA
rnacentral:tRNA from 1 species